rnacentral:rRNA from 1 species
GUGAGGAAUAUUGGUCAAUGGGCGCAAGCCUGAACCAGCCAUGCCGCGUGCAGGAAGACGGUCCUAUGGAUUGUAAACUGCUUUUAUUUGGGAAUAAACCUCCUUACGUGUAGGGAGCUGAAGGUACCAAAUGAAUAAGCACCGGCUAACUCCGUGCCAGCAGCCGCGGUAAUACGGAGGGUGCAAGCGUUAUCCGGAAUCAUUGGGUUUAAAGGGUCCGCAGGCGGUCAUAUAAGUCAGUGGUGAAAGCCUACAGCUCAACUGUAGAACUGCCAUUGAUACUGUAUGACUUGAAUUCGAUCGAAGUGGGCGGAAUGUGACAUGUAGCGGUGAAAUGCUUAGAUAUGUCACAGAACACCGAUAGCGAAGGCAGCUCACUAGGUCUGGAUUGACGCUCAGGGACGAAAGCGUGGGGAGCAAACAGGAUUAGAAACCCCGGUAGUCC